GUUGAAGAACGUAGCGAAAUGCGAUAAGUAAUGUGAAUUGCAGAAUUCAGUGAAUCAUCGAAUCUUUGAACGCACAUUGCGCCCAUUAGUAUUCUAGUGGGCAUGCCUGUUCGAGCGUCAUUUCAACCCUUAAGCCUAGCUUAGUAUUGGGAAUCGACUUUACUGUCGUUCCUCAAAUUCAACGGCGGAUUUAUAGCAAUCUCUGAACGUAGUAAUUUUUUUCCUCGUUUUUGAAAUACUAUAAACCUCAGCCGCUAAACCCCCAAUUUUUUUAUGGUUGACCUCGGAUCAGGUAGGAAUACCCGCUGAACUUAAGCAUAUCAAUAAGCGGAGGA
rnacentral:misc_RNA from 1 species